GACGAACGCUGGCGGCGUGCUUAACACAUGCAAGUCGAACGGAAAGGCCCUGCUUUUGUGGGGUGCUCGAGUGGCGAACGGGUGAGUAACACGUGAGUAACCUGCCCUUGACUUUGGGAUAACUUCAGGAAACUGGGGCUAAUACCGGAUAGGAGCUCCUGCUGCAUGGUGGGGGUUGGAAAGUUUCGGCGGUUGGGGAUGGACUCGCGGCUUAUCAGCUAGUUGGUGGGGUAGUGGCUUACCAAGGCUUUGACGGGUAGCCGGCCUGAGAGGGUGACCGGCCACAUUGGGACUGAGAUACGGCCCAGACUCCUACGGGAGGCAGAAGUGGGGAAUAUUGCACAAUGGGCGGAAGCCUGAUGCAGCAACGCCGCGUGCGGGAUGACGGCCUUCGGGUUGUAAACCGCUUUCGCCUGUGACGAAGCGUGAGUGACGGUAAUGGGUAAAGAAGCACCGGCUAACUACGUG
rnacentral:rRNA from 1 species